rnacentral:rRNA from 1 species
GACGAUCGCUGGCGGCGUGCCUAAUACAUGCAAGUAGAACGCUGAAGAGAGGAGCUUGCUCUUCUUGGAUGAGUUGCGAACGGGUGAGUAACGCGUAGGUAACCUGCCUUGUAGCGGGGGAUAACUAUUGGAAACGAUAGCUAAUACCGCAUAACAAUGGAUGACACAUGUCAUUUAUUUGAAAGGGGCAAUUGCUCCACUACAAGAUGGACCUGCGUUGUAUUAGCUAGUAGGUGAGGUAAUGGCUCACCUAGGCGACGAUACAUAGCCGACCUGAGAGGGUGAUCGGCCACACUGGGACUGAGACACGGCCCAGACUCCUACGGGAGGCAGCAGUAGGGAAUCUUCGGCAAUGGGGGCAACCCUGACCGAGCAACGCCGCGUGAGUGAAGAAGGUUUUCGGAUCGUAAAGCUCUGUUGUAAGUCAAGAACGGGUGUGAGAGUGGAAAGUUCACACUGUGACGGUAGCUUACCAGAAAGGGACGGCUAACUACGUG